CACGGAGCUUUCAAUGAACUGUCUACUUCCUACGUACUCUGGCAUCUCCCAAGAUAAUUUGCAGUUGAGGGAGAGGGUAAUCAAUGGAAUCCUAGUUGUCCUGGCUACAGAGGUGUGAGCAAGUCCAAGAUGGUGUCUACUUAUGACCAGAGGAAAAAGUGUAACCCGACAACUAUAUAAAGAAUACACCAACUGGGAGAAGAAUAAAUAUAAAGCAGUGGUCUCGGGUUGGAGAUGAGUUUCAGUGCUAGAUUAUCUGCCUAGAACCCCAAGGGAGAAGCUGAGUCUAAGAUGCCCUGCUGGGAACUGAGCCUUCCCACAGUCAAGACAAGGCCUUCCAACAUCAGCCAACAUAAUCAAGACAACAACUCACAGGCACGCACAGAGGCCCAACUUCCAGGUGAUGUUGGUUUUCGUCAAAUUGACAGCAUUCACCAUCAAAUCUAUUAUCUACAAAAGCAGCAGAUAAUUGGGUGAAAGAGACUCUCAAACCCAUCUAAGCUGGAGCUAACAGCAUCACCUUGGGCAGACCGGUUAACUUCCCUGGGCUCAAAAGAAAGUGAAGAGACUGAACCAUGCCACCUUUUCUUUCCCUUCAAGCCUUGUGUCUCAAUGGAGUCUAUUUAUAUUCCGGCAAAGCUAUGAACUGCGUAUAGAAGAAAACCCCUAAGUCCCAGUGGCAGUCAUUUCAACGUAGUACCUAAAUUAGGCUG